rnacentral:rRNA from 1 species
GNACGAACGCUGCCGGCGUGCUUAACACAUGCAAGUCGAACGAUGAAGCCUUUCGGGGUGGAUUAGUGGCGAACGGGUGAGUAACACGUGGGCAAUCUGCCCUUCACUCUGGGACAAGCCCUGGAAACGGGGUCUAAUACCGGAUAACACUCCUACAGGCAUCUGUGGGGGUUAAAAGCUCCGGCGGUGAAGGAUGAGCCCGCGGCCUAUCAGCUUGUUGGUGAGGUAGUGGCUCACCAAGGCGACGACGGGUAGCCGGCCUGAGAGGGCGACCGGCCACACUGGGACUGAGACACGGCCCAGACUCCUACGGGAGGCAGCAGUGGGGAAUAUUGCACAAUGGGCGAAAGCCUGAUGCAGCGACGCCGCGUGAGGGAUGACGGCCUUCGGGUUGUAAACCUCUUUCAGCAGGGAAGAAGCGCAAGUGACGGUACCUGCAGAAGAAGCGCCGGCUAACUACGUGCCAGCAGCCGCGGUAAUACGUAGGGCGCAAGCGUUGUCCGGAAUUAUUGGGCGUAAAGAGCUCGUAGGCGGUCUGUCGCGUCGGAUGUGAAAGCCCGGGGCUUAACCCCGGGUCUGCAUUCGAUACGGGCAGACUAGAGUGUGGUAGGGGAGAUCGGAAUUCCUGGUGUAGCGGUGAAAUGCGCAGAUAUCAGGAGGAACACCGGUGGCGAANGCGGAUCUCUGGGCCAUUACUGACGCUGAGGAGCGAAAGCGUGGGGAGCGAACAGGAUUAGAUACCCUGGUAGUCCACGCCGUAACNGUGGGAACUAGGUGUGGCGACAUUCACGUCGUCGGUGCCCAGCUACGCAUNANUUCCCNCUGGGANNCGGCNCAGGCUAACUCAANGAUUGACGGGGCCCCCAACCCGACAUGGGUUAUCNCCACCNAAACUNCAGGUGNAUNCCGANNUAAAANUCCCCUUGGCGNNNGGGGNUGCNCCACNUUCNAUUGGUAUCCCACACUUUGNCAUCUGGGUGGCAGAUGGNNUGGAGGCAAAUUCUUUGUCCNAGCCANNNCGGNANACCNNNGUNCCAGUUNAUGANCCCCCAACCCCGGGGGG